CGGCCAGACUCCUACGGGAGGCAGCAGUGGGGGAUAUUGCACAAUGGGGGAAACCCUGAUGCAGUGACGCCGCGUGAGCGAAGAAGUAUUUCGGUAUGUAAAGCUCUAUCAGCAGGGAAGAAAUUGACGGUACCUGAGUAAGAAGCUCCGGCUAAAUACGUGCCAGCAGCCGCGGUAAUACGUAUGGAGCAAGCGUUAUCCGGAUUUACUGGGUGUAAAGGGAGCGUAGGCGGCCUGCCAAGUCUGAUGUGAAAUGCCGGGGCUCAACCCCGGGGCUGCAUUGGAAACUGGCAGGCUGGAGUGUCGGAGAGGCAGGCGGAAUUCCUAGUGUAGCGGUGAAAUGCGUAGAUAUUAGGAGGAACACCAGUGGCGAAGGCGGCCUGCUGGACGAUGACUGACGCUGAGGCUCGAAAGCGUGGGGAGCAAACAGGAUUAGAUCCCCUUGUA
rnacentral:rRNA from 1 species